GUUUGUCAUAAGGGCUCAGGUGUUCACCGUGGCCAGGCAUACAUCUUGGUCCAUGUCCAUUGCAAAACUAAGAGAUGCAGUCGAAGCAUUACAAGUCGUGGACAAACCUCGGGAGUACCGGGAAGCAGCCACCUUAAAAAGACCCCAGGAGUCUUAGGCGCAGCCAACAGGAAAGGGGCUUCAGUCUGGCAGCGAGCCCUCAUCUCCCCAGCCGGGUGCACCUGGCACAUCAGGACAAUCGCAAGCACCCUACUUGUGGCUGGGGUCUGCUCCGGAGGGGCGGAUCGGAUCCUCCUCACUGAUCUUUCCAAUAAGGAAACUAUCCAGCACCACGCCUUCCCCAGUGCUCGCCGUGGCGAAAAAACUCCUAGCCUCCCAGGUCACUGCUGCAGCUCCGCACCCGGGAAAUUGGUUUGCAGAAAUCAGAGAGAAGGGCCGCUGGUAGGGCUGGGAUAGCGUGCUGCUUAACCGUAAGAGUGGGGUGGAGGAAGGAGGUGCAGAGGGUACGCUCGGGAAAUCUCCCACCCCAGAAGGUUCGAGGGUGGACAGAUUCUCGCAGUUCUUUCUCAGCUCCCUAAGCCCCUAGGACUUGGCUGAAGCGACCCGCCCUCCUGGGCCGCCUCGCCUCUCUGGUUGACAGUGCAGCUCACACGUGCUGCAACGCCAGGCGCCUACCCUGUACCAAGUUUUCACCCACAGACGCCGACCCAGCGCAGGAGGGCUUGAAAGUGAGAAAAGUCAUAGCAGACUCGCCCAGCCCAGAAAAGAAACGUCCAGUUCCUCCCACGGUCCCAGCCAGAAGCGCAGCUGAUCCUCAAGGAAACAGGAAAGGAGGGGCUGGCGGCGCGGGACGCGGAGCCGGUGCGCCGACUAGCGCAGCCAGCAGCACCAGCAGCGAGGCUCCGGCCGUCCUGGAGGGUCGCAUUGCUGCCCCCGAGGAGCUGGCUCCGGCUCACCACAAUUAAUCCCGGACUGAGUCAGGCGACCGUGUGCGGUGUCGGCGGCGAUGAGGCGGAGACUCGGGCAGACGCCUAGGUGGCUUGUCGUCCGGUCUGGGCGGCGGCAGCAGCCGGGACUUGUUCGGGCCGCCCUGGCCGCGGGCGCGCACACCGUGCAGGAGGCGGAGGCUGCAGCGCUGCGCCGGGGGCUGCCCAGACGUCUAGCUUGCGCGGGCC